CCUACGGGAGGCAGCAGUGGGGAAUAUUGCACAAUGGGGGAAACCCUGAUGCAGCGACGCCGCGUGAGUGAAGAAGUAAUUCGUUACGUAAAGCUCUAUCAGCAGGGAAGAAAAUGACGGUACCUGAGUAAGAAGCCCCGGCUAACUACGGGCCAGCAGCCGCGGUAAUACGUAGGGGUCAAGCGGUAUCCGGAGUUACUGGGUGUAAAGGGAGCGUAGACGGUGCGGCAAGUCAGGGGUGAAAUGCCGCCGCUUAACUGCGGAACUGCUUUGGAAAAUGGCGGACUAGAGUGCGGGAGGGGUAAGCGGAAUUCCUAGUGUAGCGGUGAAAUGCGUAGAUAUUAGGAGGAACACCGGUGGCGAAGGCGGCUUACUGGACCGUAACUGACGUUGAGGCUCGAAAGCGUGGGGAGCAAACAGGAUUAGAUACCCUUGUAGUC
rnacentral:rRNA from 1 species